ensembl:rRNA 5S_rRNA 5S ribosomal RNA
GUCAGCAGCCAUAUCACUCUGAAACUCACAACUGGCAACUCACUGAAGCUAAGCAGGUGUGAGCCUGGUCAGUACCUGGAUGGUAGACCUCCUGGGAAAAACUAAGGUUGCUGCUGGAG